rnacentral:lncRNA from 1 species
UCAGUUUUGAGACUUUAUUGUUCUUCCCACAGAAACCACCCUCAGGGCCCCCUUGAAUCCGAGCGAACCUUGUGAAGAUAUGCUUCCACCAACAAGACGUGGAGAGAGUGAUAUUCCCUCGGCUUUCACAGGCCUGCAGCCUCUGUCUCACUCUCUUGGAAGGCUGCCCUGAGAGCGCCACGGAGAGCACUAGGCCCACCUGCGGGAGGGUGAGAGGCCGCAUGAAGGGAACCUGAGGCACCCAGCCAGGACCUAGCACCCACAGCCAGGCAUGCUGGUGAGGCCCACUCAGUCCUUCCCAGCCAAUAGUCCAGCUCGAUGCAGCUGCAGGAGCGAGCCCAGGUGAGAGCAGCUGAGGAACCACCCACCCGCCGACCCACAGAAGUGCAAACAGCCAUAAACUGUGUUUAAGUCACUGAGUUUUGGGGUCAUUUGUGGUGCAGCAAAUGCAACGGAACCAGGCUGCUUUACUAAAGUCGCGAGUUGAAAGAGAAAAACUGGAGCAAAUGAAGAGAACCAGGGAAAAUAACCUAUCAGCGCCCUGUACUCGGAAGUCAUGCUUCAAGCGACAGGAAGGGACUACCUGCCAUCGAGAGUGGUCACAGAGAACGUGUUCACCAGAUCCAUGCUCACCUUUCAUGCCAACCCGGCUUCAUGGGGAAAUUAGUUUGAUGUCUUGAGGCCUUCCAGACCUUGCUCCACCUCCACCACCAGGUCUCCAGUCCUGAGCCACAUGCUGCCAUUUUUGUCUCAGAAGCACCCCUCUUCCAGGUGGAAGAUUGAAGGUCUGAAGAGUGGGAAGUCCCAGGAACAGGCAAUUCCAGGAAGAUAUGAGGAAAAUCAAGAAAGAGAAGGAAACUGAAGCUAGUGGGAAGUGCUUCAAGUUGGAGAUGAUGCUGAGAUGGCCAAAAAGUGAGAGGUGGAAAACAUUUGGAGUGAGUUAAGGAGAGAACGCGAGGCAAGGAAGUGAAGCUGAUUUUCAAACCUGAGUGAAUGAAUGAAUAAACGGACCUGGGAAUUGAUCAACAAUGGCUGCUGCAUCGCGUAAAGAGAGACGACCAGGUGUCAGCUGGCUGUCAACUGAUCUAGGAUGGUCUUGGAGGGACAACGAGGGCAACCCCAUGUCUCUUCUUUAGCAGGCCAGCCCAGACAUGCUUUCAUGGCUGAAUAGGAGCCAGCCUGGUCAUGGGAGCAAUUUUCAAGCAAGUCUCUGCUUGAAUGUCACAUUUACUAACAUCCUGUUGGCCAAGGUGCAUCCCAUGGCUGAGCCCAGUGUCCAAGUGAAAGGGCACCAGGAAGUUCCCUGCAGCGCUGUGGGUACUGGAAGAAUGGGCGCCAUCUUCAUGACAGCAGCAUGCUAAGUUACAGAAAGUGAGCGGCGUUCUAGACAAAGCAAGCUCAUCUGUGAAUGGAUCAUGGCGGAAACCUGACCACAGUAUGUUGGGAUUUAUGUGUUUGACAUUUUCUAUAAUAGAAAGGCAGAUCAAAAAUAAGGCUCCAGUGCCUCCACUCAGGAAAGCUCAAGUAGGUUUUCUUGAGAAUUUUUAGUGGAUACCCUGUUUUGCAAUGUUCUUUUCUUUUUCUAAUGAGGCUGAACCAGAUUGUAAUGCCAUGAGGCUUCUACAUGGAGAGCUGGACGUUGGUGAGGAUUGGGUGGAGAAGGCCGGGUGGAGGCUGGGCCUGGGAGAAGAGCAGCAGAUUCCCAAACGUACUGGUAUUGGUGCAUACUCUGAGA